rnacentral:rRNA from 1 species
AACCUCCGCAAUGUGGGAAAUCGCGACGGGGGGAUCCCAAGUGCCAUUCUUAACGGGAUGGCUUUUCAUUAGUGUAAAGAGCUUUUGGAAUAAGAGCUGGGCAAGACCGGUGCCAGCCGCCGCGGUAACACCGGCAGCUCUAGUGGUAACAAUUUUUAUUGGGCCUAAAGCGUCCGUAGCCGGUUUAAUAAGUCUCUGGUGAAAUCCUGUAGCUUAACUGUGGGAAUUGCUGGAGAUACUAUUAGACUUGAGACCGGGAGAGGUUAGAGGUACUCCCAGGGUAGAGGUGAAAUUCUGUAAUCCUGGGAGGACCGCCUGUUGCGAAGGCGUCUAACUGGAACGGUUCUGACGGUGAGGGACGAAAGUUAGGGGCGCGAACCGGAUUAGAUACCCGGGUAGUCCUAACUGUAAACGAUGCGGACUUGGUGUUGGGGUGGCUUUGAGCUGCUCCAGUGCCGAAGGGAGCUGUUAAGUCCGCCGCCUGGGAGUACGGUCGCAAGACUGAAACUUAAAGGAAUU